AGCAGCCGCGGUAAUUCCAGCUCCAAUAGCGUAUAUUAAAGUUGUUGCAGUUAAAAAGCUCGUAGUUGAAUUUCGGGAUCAAUACGUCUGUCGUGCCUUCGGUACGUACGGGUGUAAUUGGUUUCUACCUUCUGAGGAUCCUUGAUGUCAUUAAUUUGGUGUCUUGGGGAAUUCAGGACUGUUACCUUGAAAAAAUUAGAGUGUUUAAAGCAGGCAUACGCUUGAAUACAUUAGCAUGGAAUAAUGAAAUAGGACGUUCGAUUCUAUUUUGUUGGUUUCUAGGAUCAACGUAAUGAUUAAUAGGGAUAGUUGGGGGCAUUAGUAUUCAAUUGUCAGAGGUGAAAUUCUUGGAUUUAUUGAAGACUAACUACUGCGAAAGCAUUUGCCAAGGAUGUUUUCAUUAAUCAAGAACGAAAGUUAGGGAUCGAAGACGAUCAGAUACCGUCGUAGUCUUAACCAUAAACUAUGACCGACUAGGGAUCGGGAUGAUGUUAAUUUUUAAUGUACUCUAUUCGGCGCC
rnacentral:rRNA from 1 species